AUUUAUAUAGUUUAAAGAAAACAUUACCCUUUCAUUGUAAAAUCGAGAAACAUCUCUAUAAAUA
rnacentral:tRNA from 1 species